rnacentral:rRNA from 1 species
GACGAACGCUGGCGGCGUGCCUAAUACAUGCAAGUCGAGCGCAGGAAACUGACGGAACUCUUCGGAGGGAAGGCAGUGGAAUGAGCGGCGGACGGGUGAGUAACACGUAAGGAACCUGCCUCAAGGAUUGGGAUAACUCCGAGAAAUCGGAGCUAAUACCGGAUAGUUCAACGGACCGCAUGGUCCGCUGAUGAAAGGCGCUCCGGCGUCACCUUGAGAUGGCCUUGCGGUGCAUUAGCUAGUUGGUGGGGUAACGGCCCACCAAGGCGACGAUGCACAGCCGACCUGAGAGGGUGAUCGGCCACACUGGGACUGAGACACGGCCCAGACUCCUACGGGAGGCAGCAGUAGGGAAUCUUCCACAAUGGACGAAAGCCUGAUGGAGCAACGCCGCGUGAGUGAUGAAGGUUUUCGGAUCGUAAAACUCUGUUGUAAGGGAAGAACACGUACGAGAGGUAAUGCUCGUACCUUGACGGUACCUUACGAGAAAGCCACGGCUAACUACGUGCCAGCCGCCGCAGUAA